GGGGUCGUGGUGUAGCGGUCUAACAUGCAGGCCUGUCACGCCUGAGAUCGCGGGUUCAAUUCCCGUCGACCCCGCCA
rnacentral:tRNA from 1 species